rnacentral:rRNA from 1 species
GACGUAGGGUGCAAGCGUUGUCCGGAUUUAUUGGGCGUAAAGAGCUCGUAGGCGGUUUGUCGCGUCGGCCGUGAAAUCUCCACGCUUAACGUGGAGCGUGCGGUCGAUACGGGCAGACUUGAGUUCGGUAGGGGAGACUGGAAUUCCUGGUGUAGCGGUGAAAUGCGCAGAUAUCAGGAGGAACACCGGUGGCGAAGGCGGGUCUCUGGGCCGAUACUGACGCUGAGGAGCGAAAGCGUGGGGAGCGAACAGG